AUCGAAAGGACAGAGAGAUAUAGAGUUAGGAGAUCGAAAAAUAAAGGUGGGAAGGUAGUGAACGCGCGUUGGGCUUCUGCUACAACUGUGGGGGGCCAGAUUUGGGCGAUUUGCCCUAUACUGAAUUAUACUUUCACUACCUUCCCACCUUUAUUUUUCGAUCUCCUAACUCUAUAUCUCUCUGUCCUUUCGAUU